UGAUUCAUUUGUUGCCUUCUCCCUACUAA
rnacentral:piRNA from 1 species